GAUGAACGCUGGCGGCGUGCCUAAUACAUGCAAGUCGAGCGAACAGACGAGGAGCUUGCUUCUCUGACGUUAGCGGCGGACGGGUGAGUAACACGUGGAUAACCUACCUAUAAGACUGGGAUAACUUCGGGAAACCGGAGCUAAUACCGGAUAAUAUAUUGAACCGCAUGGUUCAAUAGUGAAAGACGGUUUUGCUGUCACUUAUAGAUGGAUCCGCGCUGUAUUAGCUAGUUGGUAAGGUAACGGCUUACCAAGGCAACGAUGCGUAGCCGACCUGAGAGGGUGAUCGGCCACACUGGAACUGAGACAGGGUCCAGACUCCUACGGGAGGCAGCAGUAGGGAAUCGGCCGCAAUGGGCGAAAGCUUGACGGAGCAACGCCGCGUGAGUGAUGAAGGUCUUCGGAUCGUAAAACUCUGUUAUUAGGGAAGAACAGAUGUGGAAGUAACUGUGCACGUCUUGACGGUACCUAAUCAGAAAGCCACGGCUAACUACGUG
rnacentral:rRNA from 1 species